rnacentral:tRNA from 1 species
GGAGGAGUGGCCGAGCGGUUGAAGGCACUGGUCUUGAAAACCAGCAACGUUUUAGGGCGUUCGUGGGUUCGAAUCCCACCUCCUCCA